UCGGGUGUGCGAGGAGCGCGUCGGACCCACCCCGAUCCAUCCCGAACCGGGUCGUGAAACGGCGCAGCGCCGCGGGUACUGGAGCGCGAGCUCUGGGAGACAAGGCCCGUGC
rnacentral:rRNA from 1 species